GGUUAGUCUUAGAAGUUAUUUUGGAGAGCACAGUAUGUGUUUGAUUUAUAUUGGAAAGCGUGCAAGUGAAGAUUGGUGUAAAAUUGUAUUAGUGUCCUACUAAGUCAAGUUAGGGGGCAUUGACUUAUAGUCAUUUACUUGUGGGGAAAGUUCAGUUUCUUUCAGAAAGCAACUUUUGGAAAAAAAACAAACUUAUGAGAGACAACAUGACUUGGUUUGGACUGUCGUUCUUCUUUAUUCUGGCUGCAUCAUAUUUCAGUGUCUACGGCAAGCCUACAGGAGUCCAUCUACGAAAUAUGGACAGCUUCAUCAGUGCUGUGGAGCAGGUUGAGAACUCCAACCCUGGUUUAUCUCCUCUGACUCUGGUCAGGGCCCUCCGGACCACUGCAGGUCAUGACGAUCCAUUAACCAUCCAUUACCUUGGCGCCUCUAACAAACUCGGCGACUCUAAGACCCUAGAGACAGCCAUCUUGAACGCAACCUCUUUCAGUUUCUUUGACAAGGCUAGCCACCAUGUCGUGACAGACUACGGAGAGGAGCGAGGGGUGGUUCUCACCCCGGAUGGCACCACAGUAGCCUUGGCACCACUUUUGCUUGGCAUCGAAGUGGGGCUGAAGGCCAAAAUGGAGGCUGCACCGACUGUGGGUAUGUUCCCUCUCACCUUAGCAAGAACUUUAGGUCUGUCCUUCCUCAGCCUUCAGGACUUCCCACCGUCUCAUCGUCUGGGGCCAGAUGGCUGCUGGGACAGUGUCGUGCAGCCUAGGGUGUUCAAGUUGGCUCGGCCACCCACUCUGGCCACAAAUAGUCUAAUUAAUGGCGGCAUGGAUGGCGCUAUACUGGGUACGCUCUUGAGCAAUCUAUCUGCCUCUGAACAACUGCAAAACCUCAGUACAACUUUGAAAGGAUACUACAGCUAUGUUCUGCCUGAGGGGCAGGGGCUUGACGGUGUAUCUCACCCUGUCAGUCCAAACCGAAGGGAGAUCUCUAGAUCCAUUCUGGAACCCCUUGAUCCUCACAAGCAAGUGAUUGAGACCCUGAAACUGAUCUGGAAGUUGGAAGGGACAGAAUGGAUCUCUCUGGACACCAAUGUGGAGAAGUCAGUGAAGGAAGGAUUGCAGGCAUUUGUCUACAAGUACUGGGACUGCCCUGCUAUUAUUCCACGGUGUCAAUGGGGCGCUGAAGCCUAUCAUGGAACACCGGUCCCGCUGUCUUUGCCCCUUGCCUUCCUAUACAUCCACCACACCUAUCAGCCAUCCUCGCCCUGUCUGUCCUUCCCACAAUGCUCCAAAGACAUGAGGGCCAUGCAGCGCUACCAUCAGGAGGACCGCGGCUGGGGUGACAUCGGAUACAGCUUUGUGGUAGGCUCUGACGGAUAUGUCUAUGAGGGCAGAGGUUGGCACCAUCUUGGAAGACACACCAGGGGGCACAACUCCUUGGGGUACGGUGUGUCAAUCAUCGGCAACUAUACCUCCGUUUUGCCGCCCCGUCAUUCCAUGGACCUGUUGCGCCACCGCCUGGUUCAGUGUGCGGUGGACGGAGGGAGACUGGUGGCCAACUUUACCUUCCACGGACAUCGCCAGAUGGUGAACUACACCUCCUGCCCUGGGGAUGCCUUCUAUUCCGAAGUCACUACAUGGAAUCAUUUCAAGGAAAUUGACUCGGAGAAGCAGAAGAAAGAAAAAGACAAACAAGUGGAAUAAGUGUGGAUGCGGCUGUUAAUACCGGUCUUGUGUAGUGGCCUCGAGUCUCCCGCCGACAUGCGGGGGAUUCGUCACCAGCUGUGAAGUACCUCAAGGUUAUUGUGAGUAAAUGUCCAGAACCUUGAAGGCUUUCUUCAGGACUGCAGAGGGCCAGCUCCAUGCAAUGCAGCUCCAGAGCUUUAGCCAGGGGAGCAAGAGCAGGGACAGAUCUGACAGGUGGCAAAUGGACAAGGGGAAAAUUAGAGCACUUGUUGCUAUAGUGGCGGCGCGGUGGCACAGUGGUUAGCACGGUCGCCUCACAGCAAGAAGGUCCUGGGUUGCUGACCGGUUACAGCGAGUCUGGGGUACGAACCUCCCAGCCACAUGAGGAGCGGACUGCAAGAAUGGCGGUUUAUUCCGCUUGGCCAUCAGAGCGGCCAUUGCUACACAUUUAUGACACUCUGCGUCCUUGUUAUGUUUCAUUUACUUAAAUAAAGA